AUACGUAGGGGGCGAGCGUUGUCCGGAAUGAUUGGGCGUAAAGGGCGCGUAGGCGGCGCGGUAAGUCUGGAGUGAAAGUCCUGCUUUCAAGGUGGGAAUUGCUUUGGAUACUGCCGCGCUUGAGUGCAGGAGAGGUUAUCGGAAUUCCCGGUGUAGCGGUGAAAUGCGUAGAGAUCGGGAGGAACACCAGUGGCGAAGGCGGGUAACUGGACUGCAACUGACGCUGAGGCGCGAAAGUGUGGGGAGCAAACAGGAUUAGAUACCCUGGUAGUCCACACUGUAAACGAUGAAUGCUAGGUGUAAGAGGUAUCGACCCCUUUUGUGCCGGAGUCAACACAAUAAGCAUUCCGCCUGGGGAGUACGGCCGCAAGGUUGAGACUCAAAUGAAUUGACGGGG
rnacentral:rRNA from 1 species